rnacentral:rRNA from 1 species
AGGGCACCACCAGGAGUGGAGCCUGCCGCUUAAUUUGACUCAACACGGGAAAACUCACCCGGCCCGGACACCGUAAGGAUUGACAGAUUGAGAGCUCUUUCUUGAUUCGGUGGUUGGUGGUGCAUGGCCGUUCUUAGUUGGUGGAGCGAUUUGUCUGGUUUAUUCCGAUAACGAACGAGACUCUGGCCUACUAAAUAGUGACAGGAUUAUUACUGUCUUGGAUACUUCUUAGAGGGACAAGUGGUUUUCAGCCACACGAAAUUGAGCAAUAACAGGUCUGUGAUGCUCUUAGAUGUCCGGGGCUGCACGCGCGCUACACUGAAGGAAUCAGCGUGCUAAAACCAUUGUCGAAAGGCAUUGGUAAACCCAUUAAAAUCCUACGUGAUUGGGAUCGGGAAUUGCAAUUAUUUCCCUUGAACGAGGAAUUCCCAGUAAGUGUGGGUCAUAAGCUCGCGUUGAUUACGUCCCUGCCCUUUGUACACACCGCCCGUCGCUGCCCGGGACUGAGCCGUUUCGAGA